GGUGCUGUGGUGUAGUCGGUUAUCACGUCAGUCUUACACACUGAAGGUCCCCAGUUCGAACCUGGGCAACACCA
rfam:Picea glauca, whole genome shotgun sequence.